rnacentral:rRNA from 1 species
UACGAAGGGUGCAAGCGUUAUUCGGAAUCAUUGGGCGUAAAGCGCGCGCAGGCGGAUUGAUAAGUCGGGUGUGAAACCUCCAGGCUCAACCUGGAGACGCCACCCGAUACUGUCGUGACUAGAGUCCAGUAGGGGAGCGUGGAAUUCCUGGUGUAGCGGUGAAAUGCGCAGAUAUCAGGAGGAACACCAGCGGCGAAGGCGGCGCUCUGGGCUGGAACUGACGCUGAGGAGCGAAAGCGUGGGGAGCGAACAGG